rnacentral:rRNA from 1 species
AGAGUUUGAUCCUGGCUCAGGAUGAACGCUAGCGACAGGCUUAACACAUGCAAGUCGAGGGGCAGCGGGGGUAGCAAUACCCGCCGGCGACCGGCGCACGGGUGAGUAACGCGUAUGCAACUUACCUAUCAGAGGGGGAUAACCCGGCGAAAGUCGGACUAAUACCGCAUGAAGCAGGGGCCCCGCAUGGGGAUAUUUGCUAAAGAUUCAUCGCUGAUAGAUAGGCAUGCGUUCCAUUAGGCAGUUGGCGGGGUAACGGCCCACCAAACCGACGAUGGAUAGGGGUUCUGAGAGGAAGGUCCCCCACAUUGGUACUGAGACACGGACCAAACUCCUACGGGAGGCAGCAGUGAGGAAUAUUGGUCAAUGGGCGUAAGCCUGAACCAGCCAAGUCGCGUGAGGGAUGAAGGUUCUAUGGAUCGUAAACCUCUUUUAUAAGGGAAUAAAGUGUGGGACGUGUCCUAUUUUGUAUGUACCUUAUGAAUAAGGAUCGGCUAACUCCGUGCCAGCAGCCGCGGUAAUACGGAGGAUCCGAGCGUUAUCCGGAUUUAUUGGGUUUAAAGGGUGCGUAGGCGGCCUUUUAAGUCAGCGGUGAAAGUCUGUGGCUCAACCAUAGAAUUGCCGUUGAAACUGGGGGGCUUGAGUAUGUUUGAGGCAGGCGGAAUGCGUGGUGUAGCGGUGAAAUGCUUAGAUAUCACGCAGAACCCCGAUUGCGAAGGCAGCCUGCCAAGCCAUGACUGACGCUGAUGCACGAAAGCGUGGGGAUCAAACAGGAUUAGAUACCCUGGUAGUCCACGCAGUAAACGAUGAUCACUAGCUGUUUGCGAUACAGUGUAAGCGGCACAGCGAAAGCGUUAAGUGAUCCACCUGGGGAGUACGCCGGCAACGGUGAAACUCAAAGGAAUUGACGGGGGCCCGC